GUAGGGAAUCUUCCGCAAUGGACGAAAGUCUGACGGAGCAACGCCGCGUGAGCGAAGAAGGCCUUCGGGUCGUAAAGCUCUGUUGUUAGGGAAGAACAAGUAUCGGAGUAACUGCCGGUACCUUGACGGUACCUAACCAGAAAGCCACGGCUAACUACGUGCCAGCAGCCGCGGUAAUACGUAGGUGGCAAGCGUUGUCCGGAAUUAUUGGGCGUAAAGCGCGCGCAGGCGGUUCCUUAAGUCUGAUGUGAAAGCCCCCGGCUCAACCGGGGAGGGUCAUUGGAAACUGGGGAACUUGAGUGCAGAAGAGAAGAGCGGAAUUCCACGUGUAGCGGUGAAAUGCGUAGAGAUGUGGAGGAACACCAGUGGCGAAGGCGGCUCUUUGGUCUGUAACUGACGCUGAGGCGCGAAAGCGUGGGGAGCAAACAGGAUUAGAUACCCCUGUAGUCC
rnacentral:rRNA from 1 species